GAGUGGGGAGGAGAGAGGGACAGAGAGCCUGCUUGCUUUAAAGGAGCAAAGCAGGAGAGGAGAGGAGCCGCUUACACUCGUGUAAGCGGCUCCUGUCCGGUUGGCUCCUUUAAAGCAAGCAGGCUCUCUGUCCCUCUCUCCUCCCCACUCA
rnacentral:miRNA from 1 species